CAGCCGCCACGGGAAUACAGAGGGUGCGAGCGUUAAUCGGAUUUACUGGGCGUAAAGCGUGCGUAGGCGGCUUCUUAAGUCGGAUGUGAAAUCCCUGAGCUUAACUUAGGAAUUGCAUUCGAUACUGGGAAGCUAGAGUAUGGGAGAGGAUGGUAGAAUUCCAGGUGUAGCGGUGAAAUGCGUAGAGAUCUGGAGGAAUACCGAUGGCGAAGGCAGCCAUCUGGCCUAAUACUGACGCUGAGGUACGAAAGCAUGGGGAGCAAACAGGAUUAGAGACCCCGGUAGUCCCUGUCUCUUAUAA
rnacentral:rRNA from 1 species